rnacentral:rRNA from 1 species
GUGCCAGCCGCCGCGGUAAUACGGAGACCCCUAGCGUUGUUCGGAAUCACUGGGCUUAGAGCGGGUGUAGGCGGGACGGUAAGUACUGAGUGAAAUCCCCGGACUCAAUCCGGGAACCGCUUGGUAGACUGCCGUUCUUGAGGCAGGUAGGGGUCACUGGAACCUUAGGUGGAGCGGUGAAAUGCGUAGAUAUCUAAGGGAACGCCUGUGGCGAAAGCGGGUGACUGGGCCUGUUCUGACGCUGAGACCCGAAAGCGUAGGGAGCAAACGGGAUUAGAAACCCGUGUAGUCC